rnacentral:rRNA from 1 species
GCUGGCGGCGUGCCUAACACAUGCAAGUCGAACGGAGUUUGUUUGAAUUGAGGCUUCGGCCAAUUUUCAUUUAAACUUAGUGGCGGACGGGUGAGUAACGCGUGAGUAACCUGCCGUUCAGAGGGGGACAACAGUUGGAAACUUGUGCUAAUACCGCAUGAAGCAUAUUUAAAGCAUUUUGAAUAUGUCAAAGGAGCAAUCCGCAUUAAGAUGGGCUCGCGUCUGAUUAGAUAGUUGGUGAGGUAACGGCUCACCAAGUCGACGAUCAGUAGCCGGACUGAGAGGUUGAACGGCCACAUUGGAACUGAGAUACGGUCCAGACUCCUACGGGAGGCAGCAGGUGGGGAAUAUUGGGCAAUGGGCGAAAGCCUGACCCAGCAACGCCGCGUGAAGGAAGAAGGCCUUCGGGUUGUAAACUUCUUUUACCAGGGACGAAUAAAUGACGGUACCUGGAGAAAAAGCAACGGCUAACUACGUG